rnacentral:rRNA from 1 species
AGAGUUUGAUCCUGGCUCAGGGUGAACGCUGGCGAGAUGCUUUACACAUGCAAGUCGUACGAGAGUUUAAAACUCAAGUGGCGGACGGGUGAGUAACACGUAAGAAUUUACCUUUAGGAGGGGGAUAACAUCGUUAACUGGAAACAGUUUUCUACCGAAAGGGUUGCUAAUACCCCAUAUGCUUUCGAGUGAAAUGGAUUUUUCCGCCUAGAGAGAAGCUUGCGGCUGAUUAGCUUGUUGGUGAGGUAAUGGCUUACCAAGGCGACGAUCAGUAUCUGGUUUGAGAGGAUGAUCAGACACACUGGAACUGAGACACGGUCCAGACUCCUACGGGAGGCAGCAGUGGGGAAUUUUCCGCAAUGGGCGAAAGCCUGACGGAGCAAUCUCGCGUGAGGGAUGACUGCCUGUGGGUUGUAAACCUCUUUUUUCAGGGAGGAAUAAAUGACGUGUACCUGAAGAAUAAGCAUCGGCUAAUUCCGUGCCAGCAGCCGCGGUAAUACGGAAGAUGCAAGUGUUAUCCGGAAUCACUGGGCGUAAAGCGUCUGUAGGUGGUUUAAUAAGUCAACUGUUAAAUCUUGAAGCUCAACUUCAAAAUCGCAGUCGAAACUAUUAGACUAGAGUAUAGUAGGGGUAAAGGGAAUUUCCAGUGGAGCGGUGAAAUGCGUAGAGAUUGGAGAGAACACCGAUGGCGAAGGCACUUUACUGGGCUAUUACUGACACUCAGAGACGAAGGCUAGGGUAGCAAAUGGGAUUAGAUACCCCAGUAGUCCUAGCCGUAAACAAUGGAUACUAGAUGUUGAACAGAUCGACCUGUGCAGUAUCAAAGCUAACGCGUUAAGUAUCCCGCCUGGGAAGUAUGCUCGCAAGAGUGAAACUCAAAGGAAUUGACGG